UGCUUAACACAUGCGAGUCGAACGGUUAUCUUUUUUGAUAAACCGUGGCGUACGGGUGCGUAGUAUAGAAGUAUUUACCAUACAAUCUUGGAUAAAUUAAAAAUAAACUAAGAUAAAAUAAAAUAUUAGUUAUUUUAUUAAAGCCCGGUUAUUAGCGUUGUAUGAUGAUCUUCUACAGGAUUAGGUAGUUGGUAGGAUAACAGCCUACCAAGCCAAUGAUCCUUAGCUGGUCUGAGAGGAUGUACAGCCACACUAGGACUGAAACACGGCCUAGACUCCUUUUGGAGGCAGCAGUGGGGAAUAUUGGACAAUGGGCGAAAGCUUGAUCCAGCAAUACCGCGUGGGUGUUUUAAGUCCACGGCCGUAAAACCC
rnacentral:rRNA from 1 species